rnacentral:misc_RNA from 1 species
ACGUGGUGUACGUGUAAAUAUACGCACGCAGAGGAGGAAUGGUUCUUAGGGGUGGUGGGGUGUGUGUCGCGUUGUGCUAGGCACAGGGUUUUACAAUCGUCACUCACCUGCAGCAGCAGAAGGUGAGGGUGUCGCGAUCCGGCGAGGUGCAGCCAUCCCUUAAACUCAGCUGUGUAUAGGUAUGAAGCAUGUGUAUUAUAGAAGUCAGAGGCGAUGCCGCAGCGUUUCGCAUUGCCGUUCCAAGUGUUUACCAUGUUUCCAUGGUCGAUACAAAAUUAUACUUACUUAAGACCUCUCGCAUUUCCGAUCCUCGGCUCAUGCUUUUCGUUCAGUAUUAUAACAGCAAGCCGGACGAAAUCACUCCUCUCUCGUUGUCAGCUAUCUUCCCCACGAUCCUCGUCCAGUUGCCAAAAUCAUUCGCUUUCGGCAACUUAUCGUUAUUGUACACGAAGGACGAGUAAAGUCGAUUCUUCGGUCACAACCUUUCAAUCAUCGAUAGAAAGAAAAUUCUGUGUUCCGUACGAUAUAAAUUUCACUCGGAAGUACAAAAAAUAAUUUAUCCCCAAGUUCGACUAUGUCAUACAUUUUUUCAUUCUUCGUUGCGCCCUCGCUAUUUUUAGUGCCCAAGGAUAGGUGAUUUUUCCGUAACAUCUUCUGUAACCGAUGACCUCGAUUUUUCGGGCUGAAUCAUUUUUCCCUUAAAAUUCUGAUUUACAUACUAAACUAGAAUAAUUCUAAGCAAUCGGUACACGGCAAUAAUAAUAAUAAUAAUAAUAAUAAUAAUAAUAAUAAUAAUAAUAAUAAUAAUAAUAAUAAUAAUAAUAAUACUGAUAACAACAGUAAGUGAAAAAACGUAAAUUUCAACGGUUUUCUGUCGUGCAAUCGAGAUCCAACCGUCUGACUUAAAAAAUAAUCGUGUUCUGAAGCAAGUCGCAGAUACCUACCUCGAAUCACGGAGACCCGAGCAAUUUUCUCUUUUUUUUCUCUCCUUUUUUGUCGGUCGCCAAUAGUGAUCGGACAGAUGAAGAAGGGCGCGCCGUGAUUAAAAAAAAAAAAAAAAAAAAAUUUCUAAAAAAUUACAUCUACUGUUUGACGGGGCCGAAGGAAAUAAGAAAGUCUUUUAUACGGUGUAAAUUUCGGAAAAGUAAUAGUGUUAAAUUUUAUCAAUGAUAGAAGACUGUCUCGUUUAUUUAAUUUCCGCAAAAUACGCAUCGUCUCUCCGCUUGUUGUAUACGCGAUGUUGACGCGCGUACGUUUAUACACAUACGUAUGUAGAUGAGUAAAAUAAUAGCUGCCGACGUGGUGCGAAUGACUCGGUGACGUCUAUCUCUCCAACGAAUGACAGGCUUCUGAUUUCUCGACCGAUCGAUGAAGCCUGUUAGAUUGAAAAAUAAUGCCAAGUAUCUGUCAUGAACGUGAAUGGAGGUAGUAAACGACCUCUGGUAGUUUUACGAGAGGUGAGAGAAAAUGGGGAGACGAGAGAAAAUCGCCUGGACGACUGCGGUGACGGUUGCAUUUCUGGUGAUUGCACUGAGGUCCAGUCGCACGAAACAACCUUCGAUAAUCGUCACAAAAGAGUGCUCAUCUCAUCUGAUUCGUCAAAGUCUGCCGACAAAUUGGCUGAGAGUAAUCGGCCCGGUAUGGGAAAGGAUUCAAACCCAUUUUUCAACCCUUGCAAGAACGAUCAUCCAGCCCGAGAAAUGAUGAGAGAAGAUGCGAAAGUUGUCUUAUUUCACUCGGAUAUUCCCCACGCAGAGACCGACGACGUGGAUUCGAAAAAAGGGGAGGAUGAGAAACCUCCAAAGAUGGCAAAAAAAAAGAAACGAAGAUUUCUGACGAUUUGUACGAGCAACUGUAAGUACGAAGUUGUGAGAAGAGUCGCGGCGCGAUUUGGAAUGAAAGAAGUGACGGAGGACAGCAGCUGGAAUUUGUAUUGGACGGAUCUGAGUGUCAGCAUAGAACGAGCCAAAGACAUGAAGCGGUUUCAAAAAGUUAAUCAUUUCCCCGGGAUGACGGAGAUAUGCCGGAAAGAUUUACUCGCCAGAAACCUUAAUCGGAUGCUCAGACUUUUUCCGAAAGAUUACAACUUCUUUCCGAAAACGUGGUGUCUUCCUGCCGAUCACGGAGAAGCGAUUUCGUACGCCAAAGUGCGAAGAACCAAAACCUUCAUUGUGAAACCGGAUACUGGAUGUCAAGGACGCGGUAUAUACUUGACCAAAAAUUUGAAGGACGUUAAACCGUACGACAGGAUGAUUUGUCAGGUUUACAUAUCGAGACCAUUUCUCGUCGAUGGAUUCAAGUUCGAUCUGCGCGUUUAUACCUUAAUAACUUCGUGCGACCCCCUGAGAAUUUAUAUUUACAAUGACGGUCUCGCAAGGUUUGCUACGAGUCGUUACAAGGAACCAACUGGUCACAAUACCUCGAACGUUUUUAUGCAUCUAACCAACUACGCGGUGAACAAACACAGCCGUAUGUACAUCGUUGACGAUGAAGCUGGAAGCAAGAGAAAAAUUUCAACCCUCAACAAAUGGCUGAAAAUGAAAGAGGUAGACGUCGACGAGUUGUGGUCGAGAAUCGACGAGGUGAUUAUAAAAACGGUACUGGCUGCGUAUCCGGUUCUCAAGCACAGCUAUCACACUUGUUUUCCAACCCACGACACGACUUACGCAUGUUUCGAACUUCUCGGCUUCGACGUUCUUCUCGACUGGAAAUUGAAGCCGUAUCUGUUAGAGGUAAACCAUUCACCGAGCUUUCAUACCGACGCCCAAAUUGAUAAAGAUAUCAAAGAAUCUCUGCUGAUCGACACGUUUGACAUACUGAAUUUUCAACAAUGUGAUAAAAAGAAAAUCAUCGAAGAGGAUAGAAAGAGGGUCAGGGAAAGACUGCUUCAGGGGAUAAAUUCCAGAGACUCUAGCCUAAACGACGCGGUAUCGUCAGGUGUAGGAAAAUGUGAGAAACCAGAGGAAAGCGCAGUUGAGAAACAGUACAAAUGGGAGGACGAGCAUUUGGGAAAUUUCAGAAGAGUCUAUCCAGGCCCAGGCACUGAGAAAUAUGAUCCCUUCUUCAAGCAGGGUGGAAGCUCAAUGUUUCAGGACACAGCUGCGUCCAGGGCUCGCGAAGAGGCUGCCAAGGUGCACAGAGAAGAAGCAGAGUUACGGAUUAAGGAGCAGGAGGGUAAAAGGAUGCUUGGCAAAUGGAGCGAUCGCAGACUGCGGCCCGAAAGUCCUGUGAGCAAUAAAAAAUCAGCAGCUGUUAUAAUCGGCCAAGACAAGAGCAAGCCAAAAGUUUUGGCGAAAAAGAUGAAAAAACCAGCUGCGAUUCAAUUUACUGAGAAUAAUCUGUACUCUUUUGAACCUGAGAUAAUUUGCGAGUCCGAGGAAAGGGAUCGUAUAACCGCUUUGGCGCAGCGUGAUUUUUUGAUAAAAAGCUACGGCAUGUUAGAGCAAAUAUAUUUGGCUAUGAAAAAGAACGGCACCUUGCGACCGGAGGAUGAAAAAAAAUACGGACUCUACGGAAAACUUGGAUACAUGAAUGAUAUCUCGUUGAAUGGGUCUGCUCUUGGUCAAAAAUCAUACUAUUCUUACCAGAAUAUAUCGGUGAAAAAACCUGCAAGGUUUCAACCGAUGGCAAACCAAAGUGCCGAAUACAUGUUAAAAGUAGUAAAGGGCUCGAAAAAGUCUGUAGUGACGUAAAUGGCAAGAUUGUUUAUUAUUACUACAAUACCCGUGUUCGUGAAUAAGACAAAAUUUUCAAAUGGUACGAGAGAGAAGAUAUUAUAUACAUAUGUAUGUGUAAAACAGUAAGGUGUAUCUUGGAUUACAAAUACACCGUAUUUGAAAGCACAUCUUGGAAAUAUCUCGGAUAAUUGUAAAGUAUCGAUUAGCAGGCUCUGCAAACGGAUACAAAAAUGGGGAUAAAUGUUUAAAAAUAAUGUGCAACGAGGCACCGGUUUACGUGAGACCGGAUAUCCCGGAAAAAUUUUGGAUCGAAGAGUUGAAUGCGAACGAACGAGAC